UUGAGACUCUUAGCCUACAGUCCUCCAUUUAUUCACAGAACAGGUACAAUGGGUAGCACCAGCACAUAUUUCCUCAGAAUGCUCUACCAAUGUGCCUCAACCCUAUUCUAAUGGGAUAACUUACAGGGGCGGUGAAAGUACAGUAGUUUGGCAUCCAUUGCCUGUUUGGAGCA
rnacentral:sRNA from 1 species